CUCCGUUUCCCCUAAGUGUGAAUUAAAUCGCACUUUGUAAGUAAAGACGGUGUGAAUGGUGUGCCAGGUCAUCCCGUCUACCUCCUCGCAAGCAGUAACAAUUUCUGAAAGAUUUAGUGCACACAUUAAGGGUUCAUGGAAGCUGUCCAGCGCGCUUCCAACGGCUUGGAUGUAAUUAGUCAUUCAAGACGUUUAUUUUUAAAUAAGGUACAGAGAACCACGAUAAUUUUAGGAUGCCGGUUCAGGGAAGGAGUAGCGGGGGAAGGCGGGGAGGGGUGGUUCUCCCACGGAGGAGCCCUUCCCGAGGCGGAUGGCGAGGUGGGGCGCGGGAAGCGCUCGCCGUGCGCGGGAAGUGAUGCCCGCAGGCUGCUGUGGAUGCGGCGAUCCCCCGGCAAAGCCUCUGCCUCGCACUUCGCCCCUGCGGCGCGGGGAGCGCUCCCUCGGGACCCGGCGGCUCCGGGAGCCAUCGCUGCCGAGGCUCCCUCGGGUCGCUGCGGGAUCAGCUCCGCGCCUGCCCCGCCCCAGCCGCUUAGGGCGGGCUCGGGGGCUCAGCUGCGGCUUAGCCCGGGGCUCCUGUCCCCGGGGCUCCCGUCCCCGUGUCCCCUCGGCUCCGCUCCCCACCUGUCCGCGGGCGCUGCCCCUGACGUCAUGGAAACACCCCCUGCCCCCGCCCCGCCGCCCGGGAAGGCGGGCACGGCACCGGCAGCGGCGGCCCCGGGCGGCGGCGGGGCGGGGGCAGCGCAGGCUCCUCCCGUUGGCCGGCGCGGCCGUCACUCGAGCGCGGCGGUCCCGCCGCCGGUCCCGCUCGUGGGUGUUCCCUGCCAGCCGAGCCAGCGCUCCGCCGGACCGGCCCUGUAUGCUGGCUGUCGCUCCUGCCGGGCUCCUUCCUUCCUCGCUCCUGCCUGCGGGGCGCCGCUGCCCGGGGGCCAUGGCGGGGGCGCCCGGCCGGCCGUAGGAGUGGGGCUCAGGCCGCUAAUGAUGGUAACCGUGUUUUUCUUUCUCUGUUUUCUUGAGAAGGCACAAAGGGAACAGUUGCUUCAUGCCUUGACUUUCAUUGAUUAAUCAUAGAGUUCAGAGUGUUUCACUAUACUUAAUUUCAA
rnacentral:lncRNA from 1 species